rfam:Verrucosispora maris AB-18-032, complete genome.
CCGGUUCCGGUUCACGCCCCUUGAUCGGCGCGCAGCGGCGCGCCAGGGCGACCCGGCGACC